AAAAUUCCCCACGCCCUUGACCUCAUCCCCUCAAAUCCCUCAUCUCAACGCCCAAUCUCUCAAAUCCCUGCAGCCAUCUUCUUCCUCCUCCGCUCCAGCCGCCACCUCCCACGUCAUCUCAUUGCAUCUCCAUUCGCUCCCACCGCCGCCUCCACGUCGGCCUCCUUCGACACCGUUGACGCGUUGACGUAGGGCUUGAAGAGAACCAGUUCCUGUUCUUGAGAUUGUAGUAUACUCUGAAGCUCGAGAGCUCACCGGCGUAAAUGGUGAAGUUGAACGGGUCGUCGGUGGACCCCUCUCCGAAGCCCUUGAAACUGUCGCUUCCCUUGUUGAACGACUCGCCGUAGCUCGCGAAGGUCGCUCCCCCGACGUUCGCUUGCUUCCCCGACUUAAUCUUGGGUUUCUUUAAUAUUCUUGGAUCAACUAGGUUUUGAUAGGUCAUUAUGCUUUGCAGGGAGAGAUUGUUCAGGCCUGAGCUUCGGAUCACAUCACUAAUUGCAUCAGAUCAUCUUAAAAACUAUGUCAAUGUUGAAGCUGUCAAAUCCCAUUUUAAAAAGGUCUAUGGAACAUAUUCAGUUCCGUUAAGGUGAUGCUAGUUCUCAUAAAAGAAAGGACCGACGUACUUUCAGGUGAAAGCAAAGACAUAUGGGUUCACAUGAAACUUCAGAUCUAUAAAGGAGAUCUUGCAGAAGUUGUUGUUGAUAACGCAGGGAAGAAGGUAACAGUUAAAGCUCGUCCAAAAGAUUGAUUUACAAAACAUUGCUGCUAAGAUGGCUUGUGUGACUUUCGUUCCACUUAUUUGUAGCAUAUGUCAUCUCUCUUUUGACUGAUAUACCACAUUCUGCUCGUCCUGCUUCGACUACUAACACUCCUACUUCUAGUGGUCAGGAUUUAUCACAUGAGAAUCUUAUUAGGAUAUUUGCAGACCUGGGGCGUCCGGGCUUGUCCCAGGAGGACAUUCUUCUAGGAAUUUCUUCCGUUCCUUGACUGGAUGGAUUAGGCCACUCCUAAUCUUAUUUUGGAUGUUUGAGACAUUUUGGAUAUUAGAGACAAAUAUAUAAUAUUGGAUACUUUUCAUUGUGAGAUAUAGAGUAAUCAUUGUGUAUGUAUAUGUUUUGUCUCUAAUAUUAUAUAUUGAGUAAUCAUUGUGUAUGUAUAUAUAAUAUCGGAUAUUCAACACCUUUUGAGA